AGGGAUCAUUGCUGGAACGCGCCCCAGGCGCACCCAGAAACCCUUUGUGAACUUAUACCUUACUGUUGCCUCGGCGCUAGCUGGUCCUCCGGGGCCCCUCACCCCCGGGUGUUGAGACAGCCCGCCGGCGGCCAACCCAACUCUUGUUUUUACACUGAAACUCUGAGCACAAAACAUAAAUGAAUCAAAACUUUCAACAACGGAUCUCUUGGUUCUGGCAUCGAUGAAGAACGCAGCGAAAUGCGAUAAGUAAUGUGAAUUGCAGAAUUCAGUGAAUCAUCGAAUCUUUGAACGCACAUUGCGCCCUCUGGUAUUCCGGAGGGCAUGCCUGUUCGAGCGUCAUUUCAACCCUCAAGCCUGGCUUGGUGAUGGGGCACUGCUUUUACCCAAAAGCAGGCCCUGAAAUUCAGUGGCGAGCUCGCCAGGACCCCGAGCGCAGUAGUUAAACCCUCGCUCUGGAAGGCCCUGGCGGUGCCCUGCCGUUAAACCCCCAACUUCUGAAAAUUUGACCUCGGAUCAGGUAGGAAUACCCGCUGAACUUAA
rnacentral:rRNA from 1 species